GUGAGGUGCGGACGUUUAACGGGAAUACGGGCGUAAAAGUGCGCAAGCGGUGUGUAAACAGGUGUGAAAUCCCCGGGCUUAACCUGGGAACUGCGCUUGUGACUGCACGGCUAGAGUAUGGCAGAGGGGGUGGAAUUCCACGUGUAGCAGUGAAAUGCGUAGAGAUGUGGAGGAACACCGAUGGCGAAGGCAGCCCCCUGGGCCAAUACUGACGCUCAUGCACGAAAGCBNGGGGAGCAAACAGGAUUAGAUACCCUGGUAGUCCACGCCCUAAACGAUGUCGACUAGGUGUUCGGUGAGGAGACUCAUUGAGUACCGGCACKAACGCGUGAAGUCGACCGCC
rnacentral:rRNA from 1 species